AGAGUUUGAUCCUGGCUCAGGAUUAACGCUAGCGGCAGGCCUAAUACAUGCAAGUCGAGGGAGAAGUCAAAGCUUGCUUUGAUGGAAACCGGCGCACGGGUACGUAACACGUAUGCAACCUACCUUUAACUGGGGAAUAGCCUUCCGAAAGGAAGAUUAAUACCGCAUAAUAUUACGAAGGGGCAUCUCUUUGUAAUAAAACCUCCGGGGGUUAAAGAUGGGCAUGCGUCCGAUUAGUUCGUUGGUGAGGUAACGGCUCACCAAGACUACGAUCGGUAGGGGGUCUGAGAGGAUGAUCCCCCACACUGGUACUGAGACACGGACCAGACUCCUACGGGAGGCAGCAGUAAGGAAUAUUGGACAAUGGGCGCAAGCCUGAUCCAGCCAUGCCGCGUGCAGGAUGACGGCCCUAUGGGUUGUAAACUGCUUUUAUAUAGGAAGAAACCCCCCGACGUGUCGGGGGUUGACGGUACUAUAAGAAUAAGGGUCGGCUAACUCCGUGCCAGCAGCCGCGGUAAUACGGAGGACCCAAGCGUUAUCCGGAUUUAUUGGGUUUAAAGGGUGCGUAGGCGGAUUUAUAAGUCAGUGGUGAAAUCCUACAGCUUAACUGUAGAACUGCCAUUGAUACUGUAGAUCUUGAGUACGGUUGAGGUGGGCGGAACGUGUCAUGUAGCGGUGAAAUGCUUAGAUAUGACACAGAACACCAAUUGCGAAGGCAGCUCGCUAAACCGUAACUGACGCUGAGGCACGAAAGCGUGGGGAGCGAACAGGAUUAGAUACCCUGGUAGUCCACGCCCUAAACGAUGAUUACUCGAUGUUGGCAAUACACCGUCAGCGUCCAAGCGAAAGCGUUAAGUAAUCCACCUGGGAAGUACGAUCGCAAGAUUGAAACUCAAAGGAAUUGACGGGGGCCCCACAAGCGGAGGAGCAUGUGGUUUAAUUCGAUGAUACGCGAGGAACCUUACCUGGGCUUGAAAGUUAGUGACCGUUCCUGAAAGGGAACCUUCAGCAAUGACACGAAACUAGGUGCUGCAUGGCUGUCGUCAGCUCGUGCCGUGAGGUGUUGGGCUAAGUCCCGUAACGAGCGCAACCCCUAUCAUUAGUUGCCAUCAGGUUAAGCUGGGGACUCUAAUGAGACUGCCCGCGCAAGCGGUGAGGAAGGUGGGGAUGACGUCAAGUCAUCACGGCCCUUACGUCCAGGGCUACACACGUGCUACAAUGGCAGAUACAAUGGGUAGCUACAUGGCAACAUGAUGCUAAUCUCAAAAGUCUGUCUCAGUUCGGAUUGAGGUCUGCAACUCGACCUCAUGAAGCCGGAUUCGCUAGUAAUCGGAAAUCAGCAAUGUUCCGGUGAAUACGUUCCCGGGCCUUGUACACGCCGCCCGUCAAGCCAUGGAAGUCGGGGGUACCUGAAGUCGAUAACCGCAAGGAGUCGCCUAGGGUAAAACUGAUGACUGGGGCUAAGUCGUAACAAGGUA
rnacentral:rRNA from 1 species